AUUCAAUUCCGCGCAAGAUGGCGGCGCCAGGGAGGGUAUAGAGCGAGGUGAGAUGACAACACCUCACACAGCGUAACUUGGUAACGUGUAUAAAUAUUCUGAAGCCAAGACCACCAUGUUUCAAAACGCCCCUCGGACGCUGAGUGGGCCGUGGAGCCUGAGGAGCGGGAGAGGGACGAGCAGGCAUCUCCCCGAGGACUCAGGCUUCCGGCGCCGCGGCGGGUGGCCACGCUGUGGAGGUCGCAGUUGGGAGUAACGGGGCAGUGCGAAACCCGCGGCGUCAUAUUGUUAACGUGGACGGUGACCAGGACUAGUAAACCCUGAAAGGCUUCCACGCGCAGGGGCGCCUCUUCCCGAGAGGUUUACGUCUGAGCUUCCGGCCCCUUUCCGGAGGCAGGCAGUUCCCAGCUCGCCCCUACUUCCUGCUCUUCCCGGACUGUGACCGCAGUAGAUGCCUUUCACCUCCCGCAGGUCUGCAGCCUCUGCCCACAUGGGUCCCUUGCUCGGAAUCUUUGGAUUCACUCGUCGUCCUCAAAGAGAGCUGAGAGCUGAGCUCCUUCCGGUGGGGUGACGUCCCUCGGCCGUGGGAUGUAUCUGAAAAUCAGCUGUGCCUCCAACGAGUCUAUCUCAUCCAGAACAUCUUUACUCUAGCCUCGCAGAGGUGGAAGCCUGCUGGAGGACCUACCUGGCCUUUGGGGAAAAUUCCAACUGUAUUCAGAGCCUCCCCAACCCCUGAAUACUUUUAGGCAGGACUCUUUUGGGCUGGGCUCAGUCCCACCAAUCCUCGCUGGGAAUUCAACUGGGUCUCACCCACUUGUUAGAAGCCCUGGGCUUCCCCCUCUCUUGUCCCCAUAGGCAUCUUCUCCAUUCCACACAAGGUGAGAAUCCCCAGAGGAGAUUGGAGAGGUUCUUCUAAGGAAGUGUCUCAACAUUCCUUCUCUGGAGGGGAGCCCACAGGACCCGCCUAACUGGAAGAGCCCCUUGGACUUCUUGCCCGAGGCCCAUGGGCAGAGACCUUCAUUCCCUUUGUGCCAGCGUUCAGGUGAAACGGGUUUUCCCUUGAAUGCGCAGGAAGAGAAUUUCAUAUGAACCAGGGCCAGGAGAAUGUGUUGAGAUGGAACCUUGAAGCUGGUUAGCUUACCACAAGGUAAGAGGGCUGAAGAGGAGACAGUAUUUCCUGCUCACACUUGGGUUUCUCAGCCAAGUCUGCUGAGAAAUUCCAUCCUUUGCUGUAGGGGGAGAGGGGAUUCUGUGUGCCUAGGAAAUGGCAGACAAAAAAGGGUUAUGUGACCUCCAGGGAGCCUCUUCCAGGCCACAUGGAUCCCACUUUGUAUUUCUGGGCCCAUCUUGGUGCCAAGUGGAAUUGUCAGCCAGAAGCUUCAGACCAACUCUGGAUCCAAGUACAUUAGGAUGAGGAAAAAAGUCAGGAAGGCCUAAGUUUGAACCUCAGAUAGCUGUGGAGGAAUGAGAGUUCCUGUGUGUGUUUAAUAUAUUUUUAUUAAUUUCAGAGAGGAAGGGAGAGGGCGA